UGCAAACGCAGGAGAUACAGUACUCCAGUACUGCACGGGUCAGCAAAUCUGCCCACUCGUUCCAACACCCUUUUCAUUUCAGAACAAAUAGAGUAUGGGGAUCACUGCAACAUUGUCAAGCCUUUCUGACACUUCAUCAGAAAACACAAGCAUAGGAAAUUUGUGGUCAUAUUUCUCGGCCUCCCAGGUGCACUCUUUUAUGAACAGAUCAUCGUUAGGGGGUUUUCAGUUACAAUUGAAAAGAUGUCUAAUGUCCUAAAGAACUAUCAGAAGUGACAGAAAUGCAAAAGUGGAAAGAGAAAUGUGACCAGUCACCCAUAAGAGAAAGAAUGAGAUCAAUGGUAAGCAAAUAUCUAAGUUAUUGUAUCUCUUUAAUUGAUAAUAAUUAUUACAGUAAUUAGUUCUUUAUUAAUUCUCUUCUUAGGUUUAACAUUGCUAAUAUUCCUUUUAUUUACUCUGAUUUUUGCUAGAACAAGGUUCACUGAGUUUUCCUAUUUAAUUCCUGAAAUCUUAUUCACCCUUGAAUUUUAUCAGUACUACCUUGCCAUUUCUGCUUAAUGUGUUCUUGUUUUGCACUUUUGCUCCUUAUCCAUUAUUCCAACUUCUCUAUUACCAGGAAUUUCUCCUUUGUCCAAUGCAAUUUGCAGAAGAAAAAAAAAAGGGGGGGGGGGGGGGAUACAUACACAUUCAAAUAAGAACACUGUUGAAAACAUUUUGGAAAGAGUGAAAGUGAACGAGAAGAAAUUGAUGUAUCCUACACACUCUAACACUGAGAUUAGCUUAGAAGUCUCUUUCUGUGACAUUUAGCUGAAAAGUUAUUUAUUUUCUUAUUAGCUGAGGUGUACUUCUUGACUAUAUCCUUGUAUCCUUUGCUUUCCUGGGAGACAAUAUCCAUUUGUAUCCCAUGUUUUCUUUUUAGAACCAUGUCUGCGGGUUUCUUGAGGUUCAGAAUUUCUUCCCUCCUCCCUGUUUCUUCAUUCUUGAUUCAGUCAGGAAGUGCUGAAGCAGCACCUCCUACAGCCGGAGCUGGAAAAAAAAUGUCCCUUUGGCUAAGGAUUGCUC
rnacentral:lncRNA from 1 species